UUGUUUGGUAUUCCAAAUACUAGCCUAUUGUGCUCUGUGCUUACACCCAAACUAUGCUUGUCUAGACCCAUUUAAUUUAUUUCCAGCACUGACACAGAUUGCCUGGGUUUGAGUCUUCAAAACUGUUUUUUUUUUUUCAGGAUUUGAUUAAUCUUGUAAUAUUGCAUCAUUUUUUUCAGCAGAUUCAGUGCCAUGUGGACCAUGCUGCCACAUACUUCUCCCAAGUGUGCUAGUGCCUGACAAUGAUGGAUUGUGUUAUGUUAUCUUGACAUGUUUUAGAGUCAUCUGAGAAGAAUGAACCUCAGUUAAGAACAUUACUCCAGGAAAUGGUUUCUCCCUUGAUUCCUGACUUGUAUUUGCUCAAUGAUGGAGAGUGCAAUUGUUGCCCUGCAUAAUAUG
ensembl:antisense Gm14707 predicted gene 14707